CCCAGGGCCCCCCCCCCCCCCCUCCGCCAGCAGCACCCCGUGAUGACAAACCUACUUCGGCUAUUCCCAAAGAAUCGCUCAAAAAGGUAACCCAUCAGCAUAUGGAGAGAGAAGCUGAUGAAGGAUCACAGCAAUAAGAGAGAAGCCGAGGUACUGAGCAUAGCAGGGGAGUGUUACCUACCUAGGUCCCACCCUUAAAGCAUGAACUAAAAGAAGUGCACCUGGCAGAGAAGUGGCUCGCUCUUGAAAGACCAACGAUGGUGAACUGAAAUCACAACUGAGUUGCCAAAGUGCUGCCAUGGGCACCAUAACCACAGGUUGGUUAAAGUGGCUCCAGAGGAAAUGAUGGAAACGCUGAGAAGUCCACUCACAUGUGUGUAAAAGCAGUGUAAGUUUACUUACUACAAACAAGGAAUCCAAAUUAUCUACAAUCAAUAUGAUUUCUCUCAUCUCCAUAUGCUUAUAUCACUGCCUGGACUCUGUUUUAAACGGUGCAAUAAAAACCUGUUUGUAGUGCUUAGCAAAACAAAUGUAUAUGUUGCAAAAAUACACUAUGUUGUCUCUUCAAAA